rnacentral:rRNA from 1 species
GUGGGGAAUAUUGGGCAAUGGGGGAAACCCUGACCCAGCAACGCCGCGUGAGGGAAGAAGGUUUUCGGAUUGUAAACCUCUGUCCUUGGUGACGAAGGAAGUGACGGUAGCCAAGGAGGAAGCCCCGGCUAACUACGUGCCAGCAGCCGCGGUAAUACGUAGGGGGCAAGCGUUGUCCGGAAUGACUGGGCGUAAAGGGCGUGUAGGCGGCCGAUUAAGUCUGGAGUGAAAGUCCUGCUUUCAAGGUGGGAAUUGCUUUGGAGACUGGUUGGCUUGAGUGCGGAAGAGGUAAGUGGAAUUCCCAGUGUAGCGGUGAAAUGCGUAGAGAUUGGGAGGAACACCAGUGGCGAAGGCGACUUACUGGGCCGUAACUGACGCUGAGGCGCGAAAGCGUGGGGAGCGAACAGGAUUAGAAACCCUUGUAGUCC